UAAGUAAGCUUUGAUCCAGAGAUUUCCGAAUGGGGAAACCCAGCAUGAGUUAUGUCAUGUUAUCGAUAUGUGAAUACAUAGCAUAUCAGAAGGCACACCCGGAGAACUGAAACAUCUUAGUACCCGGAGGAAGAGAAAGAAAAUUCGAUUCCCUUAGUAGCGGCGAGCGAAACGGGAAGAGCCCAAACCAACAAGCUUGCUUGUUGGGGUUGUAGGACACUCUAUACGGAGUUACAAAGGACGACAUUAGACGAAUCAUCUGGAAAGAUGAAUCAAAGAAGGUAAUAAUCCUGUAGUCGAAAAUGUUGUCUCUCUUGAGUGGAUCCUGAGUACGACGGAGCACGUGAAAUUCCGUCGGAAUCUGGGAGGACCAUCUCCUAAGGCUAAAUACUCUCUAGUGACCGAUAGUGAACCAGUACCGUGAGGGAAAGGUGAAAAGCACCCCGGAAGGGGAGUGAAAUAGAACCUGAAACCGUGUGCUUACAAGUAGUCAGAGCCCGUUAAUGGGUGAUGGCGUGCCUUUUGUAGAAUGAACCGGCGAGUUACGAUUUGAUGCAAGGUUAAGCAGUAAAUGUGGAGCCGUAGCGAAAGCGAGUCUGAAUAGGGCGUUUAGUAUUUGGUCGUAGACCCGAAACCAGGUGAUCUACCCUUGGUCAGGUUGAAGUUCAGGUAACACUGAAUGGAGGACCGAACCGACUUACGUUGAAAAGUGAGCGGAUGAACUGAGGGUAGCGGAGAAAUUCCAAUCGAACCUGGAGAUAGCUGGUUCUCUCCGAAAUAGCUUUAGGGCUAGCCUCAAGUGAUGAUUAUUGGAGGUAGAGCACUGUUUGGACGAGGGGCCCCUCUCGGGUUACCGAAUUCAGACAAACUCCGAAUGCCAAUUAAUUUAACUUGGGAGUCAGAACAUGGGUGAUAAGGUCCAUGUUCGAAAGGGAAACAGCCCAGACCACCAGCUAAGGUCCCAAAAUAUAUGUUAAGUGGAAAAGGAUGUGGCGUUGCCCAGACAACUAGGAUGUUGGCUUAGAAGCAGCCAUCAUUUAAAGAGUGCGUAAUAGCUCACUAGUCGAGUGACACUGCGCCGAAAAUGUACCGGGGCUAAACAUAUUACCGAAGCUGUGGAUUGUCCUUUGGACAAUGGUAGGAGAGCGUUCUAAGGGCGUUGAAGCAUGAUCGUAAGGACAUGUGGAGCGCUUAGAAGUGAGAAUGCCGGUGUGAGUAGCGAAAGAUGGGUGAGAAUCCCGUCCACCGAUUGACUAAGGUUUCCAGAGGAAGGCUCGUCCGCUCUGGGUUAGUCGGGUCCUAAGCUGAGGCCGACAGGCGUAGGCGAUGGAUAACAGGUUGAUAUUCCUGUACCACCUAUAAUCGUUUUAAUCGAUGGGGGGACGCAGUAGGAUAGGCGAAGCGUGCGAUUGGAUUGCACGUCUAAGCAGUAAGGCUGAGUAUUAGGCAAAUCCGGUACUCGUUAAGGCUGAGCUGUGAUGGGGAGAAGACAUUGUGUCUUCGAGUCGUUGAUUUCACACUGCCGAGAAAAGCCUCUAGAUAGAAAAUAGGUGCCCGUACCGCAAACCGACACAGGUAGUCAAGAUGAGAAUUCUAAGGUGAGCGAGCGAACUCUCGUUAAGGAACUCGGCAAAAUGACCCCGUAACUUCGGGAGAAGGGGUGCUCUUUAGGGUUAACGCCCAGAAGAGCCGCAGUGAAUAGGCCCAAGCGACUGUUUAUCAAAAACACAGGUCUCUGCUAAACCGUAAGGUGAUGUAUAGGGGCUGACGCCUGCCCGGUGCUGGAAGGUUAAGAGGAGUGGUUAGCUUCUGCGAAGCUACGAAUCGAAGCCCCAGUAAACGGCGGCCGUAACUAUAACGGUCCUAAGGUAGCGAAAUUCCUUGUCGGGUAAGUUCCGACCCGCACGAAAGGCGUAACGAUUUGGGCACUGUCUCAACGAGAGACUCGGUGAAAUCAUAGUACCUGUGAAGAUGCAGGUUACCCGCGACAGGACGGAAAGACCCCGUGGAGCUUUACUGUAGCCUGAUAUUGAAAUUCGGCACAGCUUGUACAGGAUAGGUA
rnacentral:rRNA from 1 species